UACGUAGGGCGCAAGCGUUGUCCGGAAUUAUUGGGCGUAAAGAGCUCGUAGGCGGCUUGUCGCGUCGUCUGUGAAAUCCCGUGGCUCAACUGCGGGCUGGCAGUCGAUACGGGCAGGCUGGAGUUCGGUAGGGGAGACUGGAAUUCCUGGUGUAGCGGUGAAAUGCGCAGAUAUCAGGAGGAACACCGGUGGCGAAGGCGGGUCUCUGGGCCGAUACUGACGCUGAGGAGCGAAAGCGUGGGGAGCGAACAGG
rnacentral:rRNA from 1 species